rnacentral:rRNA from 1 species
UACGGAGGGGGCUAGCGUUGUUCGGAAUUACUGGGCGUAAAGAGCGCGUAGGCGGCCCUGUAAGUCCGCUGUGAAAGUCAAGGGCUCAACCCUUGGAUGCCGGUGGAUACUGCAGGGCUAGAGUCCGGAAGAGGCGAGUGGAAUUCCUGGUGUAGCGGUGAAAUGCGCAGAUAUCAGGAGGAACACCGAUGGCGAAGGCAGGUCUCUGGGCCACUACUGACGCUGAGAAGCGAAAGCAUGGGGAGCGAACAGG